rnacentral:rRNA from 1 species
AUGGCUAAAUGCCAGCUGUUGCUCCUCUUCUUGGUGUUUCUUUUGCUGGCGGCGCACGCCAAGUCAUGCCACCCUGACGACCUCCGUGCAUUGCAGGGCUUUGCUGGGAACCUCGGCGGCGGGGGCGCCCUUCUCCGUGCCGCGUGGUCUGGUGCGUCGUGCUGCGGCUGGGAAGGCGUGGGCUGUGACGGCGGCAGAGGCCGUGUCACGGUGCUACGGCUUCCAGGGUAUGGCCUCUCGGGGCCAGUCCCAGGAGCCUCCCUGGGGGGCCUUGCGCAGCUGGAGGAGCUCUUCCUCGGCUCCAACUCUUUCACGGGCUCCCUCCCUACCUCCCUCUUCAGCCUUGUUGGGCUGCAGAAGCUCUCCUUCGAAUCCAAUCAGCUCACUGGACAGUUGAGCACGCACCUCCAAGAGCUCAAGAACCUCACCUUGCUGGACUUGUCCGUCAACCGCUUCUCCGGCCGCCUCCCUGACGUGUUUCACGACCUCACGUCGCUGAUCCAUUUGUCCAUGCACUCCAAUGGAUUCUCUGGAUCGUUGCCGCCGUCUCUGUCAUCAUUAUUAUCUCUCCGUGAGCUCAACCUCGAGAACAACUCCUUGUCUGGUCCGAUUGCUCGUGUCAACUUCUCCGGCAUGCCACUUCUUGCUUCAAUUGACUUUGCGGCCAACUACUUGAGUGGGUCUCUCCCGAUUAGCAUCGCGGAUUGUACCGAACUCAAGUCGCUCAGCCUUGCCAACAACCAGUUAGUUGGCACCAUCCCAUCGUGGAUUCGUGAGCUCGUCCACCUUCGCUACUUGGAUCUCUCAAAUAAUUCAUUGAUUGGCGACGUACCCAAGGGUUUGACACUGCUCAAGGGCCUCACCACCGCUGAUCGUUCACAGCGUAUGGCUUUCAUUAACAUGCCAUUGUAUGUGAAGCGUAAUAGGAGAACACUCCAACAACAACCAAAUGUCAUAACUGGAACCAACAACUAUGUCAGAUCUGGGGAUGGCAACACUGUAUCUGGGAAUGACAACACUGUCAUAUCUGGGAAUGACAACACUGUAUCUGGGAGCGACAACACUGUCAGAUCUGGUAACAAAAAUGUCCUGACUGGUAGCAACCAUGUUGUAUCUGGGACCAACAAUGUUGUAUCUGACAAUGACCAUGUCGUAAAUGGGAAUAACAAUGUUGUAUCCGGGGGGAACAAUAUGGUAACGGGCAACAACAAUGUCGUAUCUGGGAGUGACCACGUCGUAUAUGGGAACAACAAAGUCGUAAGUGGAGGUUAA